rnacentral:lncRNA from 1 species
AUAUAACAUAGGUCAGCGAACGUAGUAUUUAUGGUCAUAAAUUUGAGUUGAAGGUGGAAGUAGCGGUGCAUUAAAGGUGAUGUAGUGUUGGCCCAAAUUUGUGCUUUAACGUCCCAAUGAUCAAUUAACCCAAUUUUUUGGAAUUAUUUGAACUCAUUCUAGUAAUAAUUUUAAUUUUUAUAUCAUGAGAUUAAAGUAAUGGAACGCCUCACUGAAGUUAUAAAGUGAUUAAAUUCUCAAUAUACUUAUUGGUUGAAUGCAAAAAAAACUUAAGUCUUAGAUCAAUUUUCCAACUUGAAUAUCGGUCAUAUCUACCAAAAAUAUUCUUAAUUUCGGCGAGACAUUGUGAUACUUUAAACUGAAUUUCAAAUCAUUUGACAACUAAUGUUCUUAAUUUGAAGGAGUGUGGAACAUUGUUAGUGCUGUAAUUUCGGAAUGGAUGUCCUACAGGUCUAAUUAAUGAUCGAACUAACUUAGUAAUAAACGAUUUAAUUAGUAGAAUGGCCAGUCUAUCCAAGAAAUAACAUGUUCUUUCCAUUUCCAUUCGUCGCCUACAUUCCAUGUAUUGAUCCCUAAUUGAAUCCAAAUAAUAAAUAUCCUAAUAUACAUUCGUAAUUCAAAAUCACAUUAUUUUCGGAGGUGUUCUCAACUAAAAUUUUGAUGAAUUUUAAAAAAUUAUAUAUAUUCUAAUAAUUUUCAUGAAUUUGAAUAGACUUCCGCCAAUUCUAUAAGUAAAAAUGAUGAAAUUCAAAAGAUUUUAUUAUAUCCAUUUUUAAGCUUGAAAUCUAUCUCAAUCUUUUAAAAUCCCUCUAUUAAUAAGAUCAUUAUAAAUUCAUUAAUUAGUUAUUGAAAAUACCCAACUUUCAAAGAAAUUUAUUGAAAUUCAUUAAAAUCUCAAUUGGUGACAUCUAAAUUUUAGUAAUUUCAUUAAAAUCCAUUAAAAUCUCAAUUUGGAACACCUAAAUUUAAAAGAAUUUUUAAAAUCCAUCAUAAUAUCAAACACUCCCCUUCAUUUAUAAAUAUUUCUCACACUGUAAACCAUAUUUGUAGAGUUAAUUGUUGAAUAUAGUCCGUUCAUACACACAAAAAUACUCCUCAAAUCUCGAUAUGAUGAUGUUCUUUUCAAAGCUAGUUCUUCUGAUUUCCCUUAUGUUAAUCGCAACUGGUAACUCUCUCUCCCCUUAACUUAUGCAAAAUAAAUACGACGAUCCAGUUUUUAAUUUUUAUUAUACUCUAAGUUGCUAUAAAAAUAAAUUAUUGCAGGUCCAAUGGUGGAUGCAAAGAAACCACUUCCAUUUUGCGAUGUUACUGCAGAUUGCCUCCCAAUAUGUCAAAAAUUCCAUUGUUUUAUUUGUGGCUGUAGUGCUGGAAUAUGCGUUCGUGGCUGCCCCCCACCCUCAAGGAAACUACUCUCUAUUCAUUCCAACAAUCCAAAUAAUUGAUUAAUUUGUUAUAAUCCAACUUAUUUUCUAAUAAAAAUAAGAAAAUAAGUUGUUUUUUUUACAUCUAUAUAUAAUAUCAAUGAAUAAAAGAUCAAAGUUAAUGCUGCACAUUUUAUUUUCCUUUGCGUGACAAUAGUCUCAAAAAUAUUGGAACGAGUAUAUUUUAAUGAAUGUUGUUAUUUUUAGGAUUUGUAGAGAGUUUACUUCAAUAUUGAACGAUGACGAUAUAUCUUAAUUGAGAAAAACAGAAACUAUGGAAUAUCCAUGAUUUAUAAUAUAUUAAAUAUCACAAGAGUUGAGAAUUAUUUUAUAGACUAUUUUAUUUAGAGUAAUGCCAUGUUACCCAAUUAUUGAUACUAAGCAUCAGUCUAUAUGUCAAUUAAGUGAUUAGAUAUUUUAAAUUAGACUCAUAUCCUUUACUUUAAGAUAUCCAAACAUUUUAGUAGUCGCUCACUGCGAUAGUCGUCCUACGUGGCAUACAUAUGACAGAUGAUUAUUUGAUGCAUUAAUGUGGUAGUUUUUUUAUUCAUUAAUGCAUCAAAUAACCACAUACCAUGUGUAUGCCAUGUAGGUCGACUGCUGCAGUGAACGACUGCAAAUAGCAUUAUUCAGCAUUUUAAUAUUGACAUCACUAAUACUUUAAGUCUAACAAUUUAAUAGCAAUGUUUGAGAAAUAAUUUUAGAUAAUAUUGACAUCACUAAUAUUUAUAAUUUGUGUGUGCAUACAUAAUAUUAUAGUUCGCUAUUCGUCAUUCAAUUAAUAUUAUUUUGACUACAAUUAAAUAAAAAUAAUAAUUGUGAAUUCGAUAAUGUAACGGUUACUAUUUCUGAUUGACUUUAUGGUUACUUAAAAAAAUGUGUUGAAUUUUUCACCUAUAGUGUUUAAUGCUAUUAAUAAUGUGUAAUAUAUAUUGUUAUGUGGAAUAUAUAACAAAAUGGCAGUUGUUGCUCUGAUGCUUUCGAUUUUAGCAGUACAUCUAUUUAAUAAAAAUCCCAUGGCCUUGAAAUUUUUCGAGAGUUAAUUCUUUGCACUUUCAAGAUCAUCUGGAUUUUUUAUUUUUUAUUUAUUUAUUUUUUCUGUACACAUAUUUCCUGCAAGUCCAGUUUGGAAGAAAACAUGAUUCAUUUGGUGGCCAACAUAAGUAGACAAAACUUGACACAAUUUUUGGUGGUUCUUAUUUAUUUUCAUAUAGGUAGCUUUGAAAUGAUGAAAAAAAAAUCAUGUUGUAAACAAAGUUUAGCUGAUUGAUGAUCGUAGGAUUUGAGGUAUGUUGCAAAUGUAUCAAUUGGUGAUUUCUUGAAAGUAAUCUCGUCAACAUAUCCCCUUGAAGAUCUUACAUUUGUGCACUCGUGGUUAUAAAUUUAAUUUAAUUGAAAAAAUUUCUCAUGUUUAUCUUAAUAUUGACAAUGCUGAUGUUGUAAAUGUAUCAUAAUUUUCAUGUUUAUUUUAAAAGGGAUAGUAAUUGAUGGAUGGAUUGAACUAUGUUUUAACCGUCAUACUUUUAAGUAAAAGAAUCUGAAUAUUAAUGGAAUGAAAAGCUUUUUUCUUAGUAAGGGUGAAAUAUUAAUUAGGCUUCCCUUCGAGGGUUGAACAUCAAUGAGAUUUGACUCAAGAAUGGAAAUAAUUGUAUACUUGUCUAGGAACUAUCGAACAAAAGGAAAUCUUACAGGUAAUUAAAUGCGAUUAACGUACACAAACCAAGCAUAUCUAAAAUAGUCACACUUAACGCAACUAACUUUUUCGUAACUUGCUGCAAUGUCAUUUUACAAGGUUCAUCUCAAUAACCAAAAUGAAACCCUAAACCCAAAAGCCGCCGCAGAGGAUCAAAAGUAAAGACUCAAGCUUUACGUUGCUAAUGCCCAUUUUUUUAAUUAGAUUUUAUUUUAUUCUCGAAAAGCAUUUCAAAUGCUUUUUUUUUUUUUUUUUAAUUUUGAUUGUGUUGGAUUUUGAUACCCAAUAUAUAUCGGACAACAAUAUUAAAAUGUUGUUUGAUUAAUUAUGUUGAAACCAUAGUGGUUGGCUCGACUCGAAAAUAAUUUGGACCGUUAGAAGAAGCUAAUUAAUUAAGGUUACUCAUGGCCCAAUUCACUUAAGAUGGCCCAAGUGUGUUAGCCCAAAUUUGUGCUUAGUAUUGGUUUUGGUUGUUUGCCCAUUUCAGGCCUUUGUCUAGGUUUAGUGUCUUUGGCCCAACUUGACAAAUGACCUAAACUAAUCUAUACAAGCUCCCAUUUGCCUAUGGCCGUUUUCUUGUGAUUUGAGUGUGUUUGCAAUAGAGGCAAAAAAGUGGCAGCCGUCUUGAUUCAUUUGAGUUCAACUAUUCCUUUUUCCACCAUUUACCUUAAUCCUUUGUGGCAGCCGAAGUGAAGUGAUGUUGUGGUUUCGGUUGUUGUUUGUUGUUGAUUUAAACUGAGCCCAGUUUCACAGAUGGUUAAAAAUUGCACCAAAUAGCCCUUUGCAACUUGGAGUUAAUAGUUGUGAAGAAAAAUUCGAGGCAAAGGUAUUUCGGUGCUACAGAAAUUUUGUAUUUUGGCAAGAGUUUUGAUUGAAUUAAGGUUUAUUCAUUCAGCUAUAUUUUGCCCUUACUAUAAGCUGUAAACAGCAAGUAAAGCAAAAUGAUGAGAAUUCAUAAGCCGAAUUUCAAUGUGGGGUUGUAAUUAUUAUGGUUUUUCAAAGUUCUCUGAUUGCUUUGCUUUGUUUGAUUAAUUGUUGAAUUUUGAUGAUAUGAAAAUUAUGUUAUGGCCUUUGUUUCCUUUCAAGUUAUUAACAAGAAUUAUAGGUUUUGAAUAUGGAUUCCUGUAUAUAUAUAUAUAUAUAUAUAUAUAUAUAUAUAUUUUAUUUUAUUUUUUUCUUUUUUUUUAUUUGCACUUAAUUCUUAUCUUUGUGUAGCUUAAACCAAUGUGAUCUUUUCAAGAAGAGGCCAUGUUUUUGGUGUUGCAAAGGGCAAAGCAAUAUGAUGAAAACUUGUAUAUUCUGAAUAAUAUGUGGAAAUACAUAUUCAAUGGUCUUCAAAGUUCUCUGAUUGCUUACUGAUUCUUGACAUUUAUAGUUGCCUUGCCAUCUAUUUUUCUUUCUAUUUUAGUGGGUAGGUUAAAAUUUUGGGUUGGGAAAAGAAAGAGUUGAAGCCAGCACCAAAAUACAUGGUCUGUUUUAAAUUUCUAUUCAGACUACACGAGCAUGGUGCUAUAUUAAAACAUUUCUUCAAUGAUUGCCAAUUGAGUGUGUUUGUGUCAAAUGGCAAAAUCGUUUUGACGAUGAAGAAAAAAGAUUUAAAAUUUUGGCACCUAAUGUGGUGAGGAUUUGCGGCUAUAUUCGACGGGGAUUGAUAGUAUGGUCCUUGUUUUGAAUUUGUCACGAAUUUUACUAUUAUAAUACCCUCUUUGCCUUAUUGCAUCAUUUGUUUCCCGAUAAUCCUUGUUGUGGCGAGAGAUGGGGAGGGAUAUCUUGUCCCACCCCGUUGCCAUCCACAUAGAAAUUAGCAACUAUUACAACAUGAUGUUUAGAGCGUGAAGAUUCAACAAAAAUCGUUUCUUUUGUAACUAUUUUUAGACUUUAAUUGAAUCAGUAGUCAAUGUUUUUUAACAGUUUGAUUCGUCGAACAAGGAUUUCCUUCUCGGGAAUUUUGUGUUUAUUUUAAUGUCGAGUGGUAAGUAUGGGUGAUUCUAAAAGUUUGAGUCAGCACGGGCGGCCGUUGACUAUUUAUCGUAGAUCGCAAUAAAAUAUUAAGAGUUUGUUUGAAAUCAAUUUUUUGCCAAAAAAAAAAAAUGAUUUUUUAAUAGUGAUUUAAUGGAGAAUGUGUGGCUAAAAAAUAAAAAUAAAAAUUGAAUUUGUAUUUAAUAUUAUUUUAUUGAAGAAUACGUGGUUGAAAAGAAGAGAUAAAAAAUGUAUUUGAAAAAAAAUAGGAAUCAAAUAAGGCUUAAAGUUUAAAUUUUAAUAAUUAUUUUGUUCAAAUUGAAUAUAUGUAAUUUUGUUCUAAGAAUAAAUGGACUCAUCUAAAGACGUUGUUGUUAAGUUUUAUAUAUUUUAAAGGAAGAGCACGAAUCCAAAUUUUUAUAAUUGCACUCGCAUUAAAACAUGUAGAACUUAACAAAUAUUAUUUUGUUAAAUUUAUUGGCAAUAAUCAAUGGGUGACAUAACGGUGAGGUUUAUACUAUAUCUAACAAAAGGUCACAAGUUCAAAUUUUUGUUUGGUCCCCUACUUUCUUGAAUUUUGGCAAAAAUUGUUGUAUUUAAAUAUUAUUGCACAAUUGUUUGUUGGUAAAAAAAAUUCAAACUCGGGACCUCCACUAUAUACAUUCAGCGUCUGACCAAAUGAGCCACAAGAAGUAUUUGAAAAUGAACUGAAUAUCAGUAAUCUAAUCUAAAACUUUAAUCUAUUGCCAAAAAAAAAAUAAAAAAUAUGCGAUUUCAACGAAUCUAGGUAGGGUGGUUGCACCACCACUCGUGGUUAGUGUACAAGUCUACAAGUUAUGAUUGAAAUUCGUCAGAGGCUAACAACUUUUCCAACUAAUGGUAUAUUUGAGAGAAUUAAUUUCUCAAAUAAAGUAGAGAACAUCAAAUUGGAAGGUUAUUUCUAUAAGAAAAUUUUUUUAAAGAAAAAAAAGGAGAAAAUUCAAAGUUAAUUCAUAACGUUUAUUUUCCAUCAAAGUUAGUUACUUAAAUUUACUAAUGGCUUAAAAUUAAUUAGUUGAUUAAUUAGACUAAGCAACAAAAUCAUCGUUCUCCCCCAUUCGCGAAGAUAAUCUAUUGCAAGAUGAAUGAUUGUAGCCGCAGUUCUAUAUAUGGUCACCUUAAUAUAAUUUGCUAAUUGGAAUCGAUUAGGGAUUAAUGUGGUCUAAACUAAAGCCGGACAAUGUUGGAAUCAAUUAGGGAUUAAUAUAAUUUUGUUAAUUGGAAUCAAUUAGGCAUUUUAACAUUAGUUUAUAAUUUGUACUUGAAUUUCUUAGCACUUAGGGCAUCUCCAAUGUAAACCUCAAAUCAUCUAAUUGCACAAUUUUUUGGUGCAGUUGCUCCAAUGCAAAACUAUACUUUGCAUUAUUUUGUUGCAAAAUGGUGCAAAGUGGUAAAAGUCUAUUUUGUCCUUUUUUUCUCCUUUUUCAAAUAAUUGAUGAAGGGUAGUUGUGUUAUUUGUGCUAUAUAUUUUUCAAUACAAUAAAUUUUUAUUAUUUGCAUUUAAAAUAAAUUAUGAAUGCAAGAAAUAAUAAUUAAUAAAUUAAUUAAAAGAAGAAAAAAAUUUAAAAUAUAACAAACACGAUUUUUUAUUAAAGUUAAGAUAAAAUAUAUUAAACAACGAUAUACAUAUGAUAAUAUAAUUUUAUUUAAACAAAACAAUACAUAAAAUUCGAAAUGUAUUAAUUGAUCAUUUGUGGGAAGAAUGUAUGAAUUCCGAGAAUUAAAUUGAAAAAAUUUUGUGAUUUCGAAAUAUUGUAAUUUCUAAAUUCGAAAUGUAUUAUACUAUUUUCUGAUGGCAUAAUUUAUGAUUUUCGUUGCUGUAGUGUUUUUAUUAAUUGUAAUAUUUUUUAUAUUUAUUAAUGAAUUUAAUCUUUUUCAUAAUUUAAUGUAAUUAUUUAUUUAGUAAUUUAUGUAUUCUUAAAAUAAUCAAAUAAAUAAAUUAUAAAGAAUAAAAAGGGGAAGAAAAUGGUUAAACACCGUUCAUUUGGUGUAAUGAUUGGAGAUGAAUUUUAAUUUGGUACAAAAUUUUGUACAAAAUGGUUCAAAAUUUAGUGCAACGCUGGAGAUAUCUUUAGUACUAUGCCUAUAUGGAUAAAGUCUACGUAGGACAGGAGGCGGCCACCACCUUCUGCUCAUCAUCUCAAGAACUCACAUAAUGGACAAAGAGUUUAGUCUCAGAACCUUGGGAGAAACUAAUGUGCAACAGAGUUAUUCUAUUUAUAGUCGUCCACUGUAAUAGUCGUCUUAAGUGAUGUCUUCUACAUGACGGUUUUGAUUUGAUACAUUAAAAUAGUAGUUCUUUAUUGUUUAAUGCAUCAAAUCACUAACCGUCACAUAUAUCUUAUAUAUGCGACUACGAUAGUCAGUGAUUACAAAUAGUGUUAUUCUAUGCUAUUCCAACUUAUAUGUUGGAGAAAUAAAUUAGAAUUUAUUUUAUUAUUUUAUUAUUAUUAUUUUUUUUGGGGUAAUGAAAUAAAAGUCCAAAGCUUAUGGUGUAUUUCUUAAUUUUCAUUGUUUACAUCACAUUUUAUUGUUAAGGCCGACUUCAAAUAACUUUCAAAAAAUUAAGCCCAAUUUGAUCCAGUUAAAAUUUCAAAUUAAAGUCAACAACUACACAUUUUAUGAAAUUAAUUAUUUUUCAAUCAUAUAUUCCAUCACUUUUAACCUAAUAGGAAAUAAGUUUCAUGCUAUAUAAUUAAAAAAAUAUGCUAUUAAAUCUUUUAGUAUCAAAUAAUUAUUUCAUAGAUAUGUCUUUCUAUCUCUUUAUAAUUUAAACAAUUUACAAAAACUUUCCAAAGAUGUUCCUAUGAGAGAUAUAUGUAGAUGAAAUAUUCAAUUAAAAAUUGUUUGCAAUUUGCUAAUUCUAAUCAAUUAGAACAUUGUAUGUAAGGUAGGGAAGCACGAAAAUGAAAAGGAAAUUAUGACAAUUAAAAUUGAUUUAGAUAAACCUUUACUUCUCUCAACUCUAAUUAAAUGCAAAUCUAGAAUUAUCUUUUGGAGGGUAUUGCCUCUUUUUAUCAUUGAUCUAUAACCAAUACUUAAAUUUGCCAAAAUUCUAACAAAAUAGAAAUGACUUAUCGUAGAACCAAUUAACUUUUGAUUCCGCACGCGGCACCCCCCAUUUGAGCAAAAUCUCCGGUCUUUCCCUUAUCAAUCUCUCUCAGAGGGAAAGAGGAGCAGAUAUUCAUUACUCCAAUCAACUUAAGGUGCUCAGUUCAACAUCGUUACUUUUGAAUUUAACUCUGACAAGUUCUUAAUAUCCUAACGAUCAAAUAACCCAAUUUCUUGGAAUUAUUUGAACUCAUUAUAAUAAUAAUUUUUAUUUUUUACAUCAUGAGAUUAAAUUAUUGGAACACCUCACUGAAGUUAUGAAGUGAUUAAAUUCUAAAUAUACUUACUGGUUGAGAAUGCAAAAAUAUUAUUCAUUUCGGUAAGAAAUCGAGAUGCUUUGAAGUUUGAACCGAACUUCAAAUCAUUUGACAACUAAUCGAUGAUUUAAUGUCAAACGACAUACUUAGUUGAGUAGAAAGGGACUUGGUUGACCAAAUCGGCUUACAAACAUCGACCAACGGAUUUAAGAAGAAUGGUUGGAGAUUUAUAUUCAGGUUAAAGAGGCAUGACCAAAUAAACAUUCAAGGUUAACCUACCCAAGAAACGAAGGAAAAUAAUAAUAAUAAUAAUGUUAUUUGCGAUCGUUCAUUAUUGUAGUUGUCCUAUGCGGCAUGAAUGUGAUGGUUAGUGAUUUAAUAUAAUAUUAUGAUAAUUUUUUAUUAUCUUAUGCAAUAAAUUAUUAACCGUCACACAUAUGCAACGUAAAGCAACUGUAAAUAGUAUUAUUCAAAAAAAGGUCAAUCUAUUUAAGAAAUAAUAUUUUCUUUCCAUUUUCAUUCUUCGCCUACUUUCCUUGUAUUGGUUCCUAAUUGUAUCCAAUUAAUAAAUACCCAAAUAUUCAUUCGAAAUUCAAAAUCAUAUUAUCUGCUUAGAUGAUAUCAACUAAGAUUUUGAUAGAUUUUAAAAAAUUAUAAAUUCUAAUAAAUUUCCUAGAUUUGAAUAGAUUUUCAUCAAUUCUAUAAGAAUCUCAUUAAAAAUGGUAAAAAUUCAAAAGAUUUUGGUAUAUUUAUUUUUAAGCUAGAAAUCUAUUCAAAUCUUCUAAAAUUCCUCAGCCAACAAAAUCUCUAUAAAUUCACUAGUUAUUGAAAAUACUUAAUUUUUAAAGGAUUUUAUAGUAAUUCAUUAAAUCUUCGUUGGGGACACCUGAAAUUUAGUGAAUUUCAUUAAAAUUUAUUAAAAUCUCAAUUUGAACACCUAAAUUUAGAAGAAUUUUUAAAAUCCAUCAUAACAUCAGACACUCUCCUUCAUCUAUAAAUAUUUCUCACAAUGUAUACCACAUUAGUAGAGUUAACUGUUCAAUAUAGUCAGUUCAUACACACAAAAAAUACUCCUCAAAUCUCGAUAUGAUGACGUUCUUUUCAAAGCUAGUUCUUCUGAUUUCCCUUAUGUUAAUCGCAACUGGUUUCUCUCUCUCUCUUUAGUAUUGGUGCUUAAUUUAUGCUAAAUAAAUAUGACAAUCCAGUUUUUAUUUUUUUAUUAUACUUUGAGUUGCUAUGAAAAUAAAAAUAAAAAUAAUUAUUGCAGGUCCAAUGGUGGAUGCAAAGAAACCACUUCCAAAUUGCGAUGUCACUGCAGAUUGCCUCCCAAUAUGUCAAAAAUUCCAUUGUGGAUUCUGUGCCUGCCUUAGUGGAAUCUGCGUUCGCGGCUGCCCCCCACCCUCACCCUCGAGGAAACUACUCACUAUUUCAUCCCAGCAAUACAAAUAAUUGAUUAAUUUGUAAUAAUCCAACUUAUUUUAUGAUAAAUAAGUUGUUGUUUACAUCUAUAUAAAUAAUCAAUGAAAUAAAAGUUGAAAGUUUAUGUUGCACAUUUUAUUCUCCUUCAAAUGAAUAUAUUUUAAUGAAUGUUGUUAUUAUUAUGGAUGACGGUGAAUCGGGUUCAGGAUGAGGGUGCUAUUAUUGUUAAGGAUGGCAGCGGAUCGGGUUCAGGACGAGGGGUGCUGUUAUUGUUAGGGACGGGACGGGGCGCAAGCCUUAGACAGGGCGGCGGCUUGCCACGUUUGCUGCCCUUUUCUUUUUACAUUUUUAAAAUUUUGAGUUACGUUAUUAUUAUAGAAUAAAAUACAAAUUCAAAAUGAAAUUUUAAAAGGUGAAUUGUUCACAAAUAAAAUUAAUAUUAAUUUUAAUUUUUUUUCCUUCAUGUGGCAGGUUCAAGGCGGGGCAUCCUCGCCCCGUGCCACGAGAUGGGGCGAUGAGCCCCGCCCUGCCAACCCGUCAGGGCAGAUUUUUCACCCAAUUCGAGAUGGGGAGAGGCAGGGUUUUCUGCCAUCACUAGUUAUUGUUAGGAUUUGUCGAGGGUUUAGUUAAAUAUUGAAUGAUGAUGAAUAUGAUAUCUAAAAAAAAAAAAAAAAAACUGAAACUAUGGAACAUUUAGGAUUUAUAAUAUAUUAAAUAUCACAUGAGUUGAGAAUUAAUUUAUAGACUAUUUUAUUUAGAGUAGUUCUAUGUAACCCAAUUAUUGGUACCUAGCAAAGAUCUAUAUGUCAAUUAAGUGAUUUGAUAUCUUACAUUUACCGAUACAUCGGGGGACAGGCCCUUCCUCCAACCGGGGAUCGCCGCGUGUCCAUUAGGUGCACGCUUCGGUACCCCCGGAUGUACCACAAGUUUAAUUCUUUUACAUUAGACUCAUAUCCUUUAUUUUAAGAUAUCCAAACAUUUUUAUAUUGACAUCACUAAUACUUUAAGCCUAACAAAUUAGAAGCAAUGUUUGAGAUAUUAUUUUAGAUGAUAUUGACAUCACUAAUAUUUUAUAAUUCGUGUGUACAAACAUAAUAUUAUAGUUAGCUAUUCGUCAUUCAAUUAAUAUUACUUUGACUGUAAUUAAAUAAAAAAAAUUGUGAAUUCGAUAAUGUAACGGUUACAUAAAUAAAUGUGUUGACCUUUUCAUUUAUAGUGUUUAAUGCUAUUAAUAAUGUUUGAUGAGGUGAAUUUAUUUUAUUAAAAUAGGAGUGUAGUGUAAAAAAAAUGCUAUUCAUAGUAUAUCAGCUUCAAUAGAGGAGUUAAUAGGGCUCACUAUUGUCAUGUGGAUUAUGUAACAAACUUUAAUCACACUAUUUAGAGUUUUGAUGAAUGUACAGAACCAUUUCAACAGAAAUUUUUCAGAUUCCUCACAUGAGGUGGGUCUCGCUAUGACCCCAAAAAUCCCCACCCCACCCAUAUUUGUGUAUAUUCUAUAGGAUUACUGUAAAACCCCUACUCGAUACCCAAGCAUGGUUCUAUAUAUGGUCACCUUAAUAUAAUUUGUUAAUUGGAAUCGAUUAGGGAUUAAUGUGGUCUAAACUAAAGCCCUACAAUACUGGAAUCAAUUAGGGAUUAAUAUAAUUUGUUAAUUGGAAUGAAUUAUGCAUUUUAACAUUAGUCUAUGAUUUGUACUUCAAUUUAGUAGUACUUAGGACAUCUCCAAUGUAAACUCCAAAUCAUCAAAUUGCACCAUUUUUUGGUGCAGUUGCUCCAAUACAAAACUAUACUUUGCACUAUUUUAGUGCAAAAUGGUGCAAAAUGGUGAAAAUCUAUUUUGCCCUUUUCCUUCCCCCUUUUCAAAUAAUUGAUGAAGGGUAGUUGUAUUAUUUGUGCUAUAUAUUUUUCAAUACAAUAAAUUAUUAUUAUUUACAUUUAAAAUAAAUUUUGAAUGUAAGAAGUAAUAAUUAAUAAAUUAAUUAAAAGAAGAAAAAAAUUUAAAAUAUAACAAACACGAUUUUUUUAUUAAAGUUAACACGAAAUAUAUUAAACAAUGACAUGUAUACGGUAAUCUAAUUUUAUUUAAACAAAACAGUACAUAAAAUUCCAAAUGUAUUAAUCGAUCAUUUGUGGGAAAAACGUAUGAAUUUCGAGAAUUAAAUUGUAAAAAAUAUGUGACUUCGAAAUGUCGUAAUUUCCAAAUUCGAAAUGCAUUGUACUAUUUUCUGAUCGCAUGAUUUAUGAUUUUCGUUAUUGUAGUGUUUUUAUUAAUUGUAAUAUUUUUUUAUAUUUAUUAAUGAAUUUAAUCUUUUUCGUAAUUUAAUGUAAUUAUUUAUUUAGUAAUUUAUGUAUUCAUAAAAUAAUCAAAUAAAUAAAUUAUGAAGAAUAAAAAAGGGAAGAAAAUGGUUAAAUAUCGUUUAUUUGGUGUAACUUUUGGUAUAAUGGUUGGAGAUGAAUUUUAAUUUGAUGCAAAAUUUAGUGCAAAAUUUGGUGCAGCGCUGGAGAUGACUUUAGUACUAUGCCUAUAUGGAUAAAGUCAGUGUACGACGGGAGGCAGCCACCACCUUCGGCUCAUCAUCUCAAGAACUCAAAUAAUGGAGAAAAAGUUUAGUCGCAGAACAUUGGGAGAAACUAAUGUGCAACAAUGUUAUGCUAUUUAUAGUCGUUUACUGCAAUAGUCGUCUCAAGUGAUGUCUUCUACAUGACGGUUUUGAUUUAAUACAUUAAAAUAAUAUUUCUUUAUUAUUUCAUGCAUUAAAUCACUAAUCAUCAUAUGUAUGUUAUAUAGGCGACUACGAUAGUGAGUGAUUACAAAUAGCGUUAUUCUUUGCUAUUCCAACUUAUAUGUUGGAGAAAUAAAUUAGAGUUUAUUUUUUUAAUAAUGAUAUAAAAGUCCAAAGCUUAUGGUGUAUUUCUUAAUUUUCAUUGUUUACAUCAUAUUUUAUUGUCAAGGUCGACUUCAAAUAACUUUUAAAAAAUUAAGCCCAAUUUGAUCCAGUUAAAAUUUUGAAUUAAAAUUCAAAUAAAAGUCAACAACUACACAUUUUAUGAAAUUAAUUAUUUUUCAAACAUAUAUUCCAUCACCUUUAACCUAACAGGAAGUUUCGUGGUAUAUAAAUAAAUAAAUAUCUAAUCAAUUAGAACAUUGUAUGUAAGGUAGGGAAGCACGAAAAUGAAAAGGAAAUUAUGGCAAUUAGUGUUGAUUUAGAUAAACCUUUACUUCUCUCAACUCUAAUUAAAUGCAAAUCUAGAAUUAUCUUUUGGAGAGUAUUGCCUCUUUUUAUCAUUGAUCUAUAAUCAAUACUUAAAUUUGCCAAAAUUCUUACAAAAUAGAAAUGACUUGUCGAAGAACCAAUUAACUUUUGAUUCCGCAUGCGGCACCCCCCAUUUGAGCAAAAUCUCCGGUCUUUCCCUUAUCAAUGUCUCUCAGAGGGAAAGAGGAGCGGAUAUUCAUUACUCCAAUCAACUUAACGUGCUCAAUUCAACUUGGUUACUUUUGAAUUUAACUCUGACAAAUUCUUAAUAUCCUAACGAUCAAAUAACCCAAUUUCUUGGGAUUAUUUGAACUCAUUAUAAUAAUAAUUUUUAUUUUUUACAUCAUGAGAUUAAAUUAUUGGAACACCUCACUGAAGUUAUGAAUUGAUUAAAUUCUAAAUAUACUUACUGGUUGAGAAUGCAAAAACAUUCUUCAUUUCGGUGAGAAAUCGAGAUGCUUUGAAGUUUGAACCGAACUUCAAAUCAUUUGACAACCAAUAUUCUUAAUUUGAAGAAGUGUGAAACACUGUUAGGAUUGUAAUUUCGAAAGAAUGGAUGACCUACUGCUUCUGGUCUAAUCAAUGAUCAAACUAACUUAAUGUUAAAUGACAUAAUUAGUUGAGUAGAAAGGGACAUGGUUGACCAAAUCGGUUUACAAACAUCGACCAACUGAUUUAAGAAGAAUGGUUGGAGAUUUAUGUUGAGGUUAAAGAGGCAUGACGAAAUAAACAUUCAAGGUUAACCUACCCAAGAAACGAAGGAAAAAAAUAAUAAUAAAAAAAAAUAAUGCUAUUUGCAAUCGUUCACUGUUGUAAUUGUCUUAUGCGACAUGAAUGUGACGGUUAGUGAUUUGAUACAAUAAUAUGAUAGUUUUUUAUUACCUUAUACAAUAAAUUACUAAUUGCCACACGUACGUCUCGUAGGAGGACUGCGAUAGUAAACGACUGUAAAUAACAUUAUUCAAAAAAAGUCAAUCUAUCCAAGAAAUAAUAUGUUCUUUCCAUUUUCAUUAUUGCCUACAUUCCUUGUACUGAUUCCAAAUUGAAUCCAAUUAACAAAUACCCAAAUAUUCAUUCGAAAUUCAAAAUCACAUUAUUUCCUUAGAUGACAUCAACUAAGAUUUUGAUAGAUUUUAAAAAAUUAUAAAUUCUAAUAAAUUUCGUGGAUUUGAAUAUAUUUUCAUCAAUUCUACAAGAAUCUCAUUAAAAAUAGUAAAAUUUCAAAAGAUUUUGGUAUAUUUAUUUUUAAGCUUGAAAUCUAUUCAAAUCUUCUAAAAUUCCUCAGUCAACAAAAUCUCUAUAAGUUCACUAGUUUUUAAGAAUACUUAAUUUUUAAAGGAUUUUAUAGUAAUUCAUUAAAUCUCCAUUGGUGACACCUAAAAUUUAGUGAAUUUCCUUAAAAAUUAUUAAAAUCUCAAUUGGAACACUUAAAUUUAAAAGAAUUUUUAAAAUCCAUCACAAUAUCAGAUACUCCCCUUCAUCUAUAAAUAUUUCUCACAAUGUAUACCAUAUUAGUAGAGUUAAUUCUUGAAUAUAGUCUGUUCAUACACACAAAAAAUACUCCUCAAAUCUCGAUAUGAUGGCGUUCUUUUUAAAGCUAGUUCUUCUGAUUUCCCUUAUGUUAAUCGCAACUGGUUACUCUCUCUCUCUCUAGUAUUUGUGCUUAAUUUAUGCUAAAUAAAUAUGACAAUCCAGUUUUUAUUUUUUAUUAUACUCUGAGUUGCUAUGAAAAUAAAAAUAAAAAUAAUUAUUGCAGGUCCAAUGGUGGAUGCAAAGAAAAAACUUCCAAAUUGCGAUGUUACUGCAGAUUGCCUCCCAAUAUGUCAAAAAUUCCAUUGUGGAUUCUGUGCCUGUCUUAGUGGAAUCUGCGUUCGCGGCUGCCCCCCACCCGCACCCUCACCCUCACCCUCGAGGAAACUACUCACUAUUUCAUCCCAACAAUCCAAAUAAUUGAUUAAUUUGUAAUAAUCCAACUUAUUUUAUGAUAAAUAAGUUGUUGUUUACAUCUAUAUAAAUAAUCAAUGAAAUAAAAGUUGAAAGUUUAUGUUGCACAUUUUAUUCUCCUUCAAAUGAAUAUAUUUUAAUGAAUGUUGUUAUUAUUAGAGAUGACAGUGAUUCGAGUUCAGGACGAGGGUGUUGUUAUUGUUAGGGAUGGCAAUGAAUCGGGUUCAGGACAGCGGGUGUUGUUAUUGUUAAGGACGGGACAGGGCGCGGCACGAGCCUUAGACAGGGCGGCUGCUUGCCCAGUUUGCUGCCCUUUUUUUUCUUUUUCUUUUUUCACAUUUUUAAAUUUUCAAAUUAUGCUAUCAUUAGAGAAUAAAAUAUAAAUUCAGAAUGAAUUUUUAAUUGGUGAAUUGUCCAGAAAUAAAAUUAAUAUUAAUAUUAAAUAUUUUUUCUUUCAUGUGUUAGGUUCAAAGCGAGGCAUCCUCGCCCCGUGCCACGAGACAGGGCGAUGAGCCCCGUCCUGCCAACCCGUUGGGAUGGAUUUUUUGGCCCAAUUCGGGACGGGGAGAGGUGGGUUUUUCUGCCAUCAUUAGUUAUUGUUAGGAUUUGUCGAGGGUUUACUUAAAUAUUGAAUGAUGAUGAAUAUGAUAUCUACCAAAAAAAAAAAAAAAAAACUGAAACUAUGGAACAUCUAGGAUUUAUAAUAUAUUAAAUAUUACAUGAGUUGGGAAUUAUUUUAUGGACUAUUUUAUCUAAAGUAGUUCUAUGUGACCCAAUUAUUGGUAGGUAGCAACGAUCCAUAUGUCAAUUAAGUGAUUAGAUAUUUUACAUUGGACUCAUAUCCUUUAUUUUAAGAUAUCCAAACAUUGUAAUAUUGACAUCACUAAUACUUUAAGCCUAACAAAUUGGAAGCAAUGUUUGAGAACUUAUUUUAGAUGAUAUUGACAUCACUAAUAUUUUAUAAUUCGCGUGUACAAACAUAAUUUUAUAAUUCGCUAUUCGUCAUUCAAUUAAUAUUAUUUUGACUGUAAUUAAACAAAAAAAAAUUGUGAAUUCGAUAAUGUAACAGUUACUUAAAUAAAUCUAUUGACUUUUUCAUUUAUAGUGUUUAAUGCUAUUAAUAAUGUUUGAUGAGGUGAAUUUAUUUUAUUAAAAUAGGAGUGUAGUGUAAAAAAAUAAAUGCUAUUCAUAGUGUAUCAGCUUUAACAGAGGAGUUAAUAGGGCUCACUAUUGUUAUGUGGAUUAUGUAACAAAGUUUAAUCACACUAUUUAGAGUUUUGAUGGAUGUACAGAGCCAUUUCAACAGAAGUUCUUUAAAUCCCUCACAUGAGAUGAGUACCGCUCAUUUAAAAAUUACCCCAAAAAUCCACACUCGAUCCAUAUUUGUGUGUGUACUGUAGGAGUUCUGUAAAAUCCCUACCCGGUACCCAAGCAUGACUCCACUAUUUAUAGGUCAAAAUCAUUGUCACAACAAGUCACGAUCACAUACCACCUGACUUUUUAAAAGUUUUUAUAAGUUUGUUAAUUUUAAAAUUGUAUUCUUAAAUUAUAGAAGUUAUGAAAUUUAUUUUUUCUUAUGUGGUUUUGAAAUUGUUUGGGCCUUGUUGAUCCCAUCUGAGUCUUCCUUGUGGAACCAACAACAAUGUCUCUCCCUUCAGCUUCUGGGCCUCAAAGCCUUUUGCACUGUAUUUUCUUUACAUUUCGGGCUUUGAAGUUCAUGAUAGAUCAGGCCUUAUACCCUCCUUGAGUGGUACUUUGCUAUCGGGAAAGAAAAUCAUAAAUACCUAUGAAAUAAAAAAAAGAUUUCACAUUAUACUAAAAUACUUAUUUAUAUACUUAUUAUACUGUAUAACCCUCAAAAUAAUACCCAAUUUACAGACUUUGAGACUUUUCCAUUUUUGAAUUGUAACUGAAAUUGAAAUGCAUGAUUUACGUUACAAUUAAAUUAAUUCAAAUUAUAAAUGAUUUUCGAUUGUACAAGAAUGUCAAAAAGGAAAUUACGUGCAAUCUUUUUCCGAUUGAUUAAUUUAAAUCUGAUUUUCAUUCCUAGCUACUGAAUAUUUAACCUUUGCUUGUGCAGCCCAUUUGUGCCUCGAAUCUAACUCGAGCAAAUUUUAUUUAUUGAAAUCAAGGAAAACAUUAUUUAACAUGUGAAUUAUUAAUAAUUCUUUUUUGUGAAAUAUCAUGCAACUCGUAAAAUAGUUUGAAAUUUAACCACUUACUUUUGCAAUUCCACCAAUAUUUUUAACUACAUUUUAUGUGAUAUAUGGAUUUACAUUAACUGAAUUAUAUGAUAUGUGAGAUGGGUUUGUGAACUUGAUAAUAAUCGUGAAAUGAUGUUAGUGGAUUCAUUAAUUAUGAGAAAUGAUGUUGCUCUUUUUUCCUUUUUUCGUUUUUUGGUAUUUCGUUAUUUCGAGGAUUGCGUCUUUGAAUUUGACCCAUUGAUGAACUACAUAUUUGUGAGUGAUCACCAUUUGUUUAUCCCCAAUUUGUUAUACCUUUUCUGUUUUUUGUGUGCUUGUAGAUAUGGAUUCCAGUAAUGUGAUCAUAACUUGCGAUACGAAGAUUGGACUCCUCGUGCCUAGUGGUUGUAAAUCUGCAAAACUUUGUGAGAUGAUAUCUGUUGAGAUAAAAAUUGAUAACACGAUGGUUCUAUGAAAUAGAGUAUGAUAUCGAUGAUAACAUGGCCCGUUGAGGAUCACAAAUCACAGUUUGCUAAUUUUUUGUUCGGAGCUGAAGAGGAAGGAACCCCGUUGAUUUAUGCAUCACUUCAUUGCUGAAUUUUUUAAAUAACAUUUGAAUCAUGUUUUUCUCUUGGUAAAAUUGAUGCUUCAUCCAUGUAUCCAAUUUUUCAUCAAUAAGAAAUUGGGUGUCUAUGAUUCCUAUAUGGUUUUGAGAUAAAGCCCAUCAGCAUCCAAUGUUUCUUUCCCAACUCAAUUGUAUAAUAUUUUUUUGGCUAAAAAACUAAUGUUCUCGUGGAGCCAAUGUUGUACUUAUAUGCUAUUAUAACGUCAAAAUGCGUCCAAAUAACGGGAAUUCCAUUGAUGACCCGUAUAACCCGUAUAACGAAGUAGAUAUACACAUAUUAUAUUGUGUAACGAUGUACUUAUCUGUAAUCAUCUUCUGAAAUAUCAGUAGCAAUUUUCACAUCAAGAGGCUUAAUACGCUCUACCCAAUAGAUGAUGAUGGGUGACCAAGCAUUUAUCUUAACAAUGAGACAUGGCAGAAUAUAAGUAAAUGCUCUCACCACAUCUAUAACAAUCAUGUCUCUCACUAUUAGUCCGCCAUAUUAUUAUUGCAGAAAAAUGAUUUAUGAACGAGAAUAUGGAAUUAAGGAACCUUGGUAUAUGGAAAAGACUGAUCCAUGAGAUCCCUUUG